GGUCUCGUGGUCAAUCGGUUAAGACAUCGCCCUUUCACGGCGGAGUGCCGGGUUCGACUCCCGGCGAGAUCACCA
rnacentral:tRNA from 1 species